rnacentral:rRNA from 1 species
GAUGAACGCUGGCGGCGUGCUUAACACAUGCAAGUCGAACGGAAAGGCCCAAGCUUGCUUGGGUACUCGAGUGGCGAACGGGUGAGUAACACGUGGGUGAUCUGCCCUGCACUUCGGGAUAAGCCUGGGAAACUGGGUCUAAUACCGGAUAGGACCACUUCCUGGAUGUUGUGGUGGAAAGUUUUUUCGGUGUGGGAUGAGCUCGCGGCCUAUCAGCUUGUUGGUGGGGUAAUGGCCUACCAAGGCGUCGGCGGGUAGCCGGCCUGGGAGGGUGUACGGCCACAAUGGGGCUGAGGUACGGCCCAGGCUCCUACGGGGAGCAACAGUGGGGAAUAUUGCACAAUGGGCGCAAGCCUGAUGCAGCGACGCCGCGUGGGGGAUGACGGCCUUCGGGUUGUAAACUCCUUUCGCUAGGGACGAAGCGUUUUGUGACGGUACCUGGUGAAGAAGCACCGGCUAACUACGUG